rnacentral:lncRNA from 1 species
UGCCCAGGGACACACAGCUGACCGGGGCUGAGAUGGUUCCAGAGCCCAGACCUGCUGCUUCUAACCAAGACCCCUAGUGUGGUGCUCUCUCUACUAUCCCAGGGACUUGUGAAAAUCAUGGAUUACUGGGCUCCACUUCCGGAGCUUCUGAUCCAGUGAGACUGUGGUGGGGCAGGAGUUGGCCUUUGAAGACCAAGACCAGGGAACUGGGACCAAGACGAAACAUGGUUAAGUGCUGACACCAUCGAGCAUUCAGGAUUUAUCCUGGCAAAGGCAUCAGAGUCCGCUAAAAAUAACUGCCUAUUGUCUUACCUCUGACAUUGCUGAGGGAUGUGACACUUACCCGGAGAAAUCCAGAAAGGCAGACGGACAUCCAGUUUGUGAGGAGUUUUUCGACGACGGACUCCGUGCGUCUCAGCAUGAGUUUCGGCUGCAUGUUACUACACUGUUCCAUCAAGUCCCUGGUCAGCACCUCUAGGAUGCUGGUCAGGUAGACCAGCUUGGUUUGCAGUGCAAUGGUUAGGAAGGAGGCAAACAGACACCUGUUGAAAAAGAGAGCUGGGUGAACCAUUGGCUGCAGGCCUAGCUGGACACCCAUGGGAGUUUCCAUGGAAGCUCACUGGCAGGGCAGGGAGC